AAAAAGAUAAGCUAAACAAGCUAAUGGGUUCAUACCCCGCAUAUAAAGGUUUAAGUCCUUUUCUUUUUA
rnacentral:tRNA from 1 species